UUGCCUGGCGGCUUUAGCGCGGUGGUCCCACCUGACCCCAUGCCGAACUCAGAAGUGAAACGCCGUAGCGCCGAUGGUAGUGUGGGGUCUCCCCAUGCGAGAGUAGGGAACUGCCAGGCA
rnacentral:rRNA from 2 species